rnacentral:rRNA from 1 species
UACGUAGGGUGCGAGCGUUGUCCGGAAUUAUUGGGCGUAAAGAGCUUGUAGGCGGUCUGUCGCGUCUGCUGUGAAAAUCCGGGGCUCAACCCCGGACUUGCAGUGGGUACGGGCAGACUAGAGUGUGGUAGGGGAGACUGGAAUUCCCGGUGUAGCGGUGAAAUGCGCAGAUAUCAGGAGGAACACCGAUGGCGAAGGCAGGUCUCUGGGCCACUACUGACGCUGAGAAGCGAAAGCAUGGGGAGCGAACAGG